rnacentral:lncRNA from 1 species
CCAGCUAGAAGAACAUGUCCCACAGACAGGCAACAACUUUUGGGAUAGCCCCUGCUCCAGUUGUUCAGCACUUACCUGAAAGCAGAACUGCAUAUCUGGUAUAUGUGCUGGAGGCCUAGGUUCAUCCUGUGUAUUCUUUUUAGUUGAUUGUUCAGUCUCUGAGAACCUCAAGCAUCCUGGUUAGUUGACUCUGUUGGUUUUCCUGUGGAGUUCCUAUCCCCUUCUGGGUGCUCAAUCCUUCCCCAACUCUUCUUCCUAAGAGUCCCCAAGCUCCAUCCACUGAUUGGCUGUGGGUGUUUGCAUCUGUCUGAGUCAGCUGCUAGGUGGAAGAUAUGGCCAGAUGACCAUGAGAAUGAAUGGAGGGGGCAGGGUUGGGAGGAGGGUGGAAUCUCUAGGAUGUGCAGGGUGAUCUUAGCUGAGACUCACAGCAUUGGUGAUAUGGAACCUGAAGAUGUUCUUCAGAAUUUCCUCAGAAAUUUCUUAUUUUACAAGUGGAAGCCCCGUGAGCCCUCUCUGUCUACCUUGCAGUAUUGAAUAGUUGCAGUACUUCAUCAUGCACAGGCAACCACAGCUGUUCUGGGUUCCUGACUAUUCCACAAAGUACAAACAGAAGACACACUACCCAAUGCAUUCUAUGAAGCCACAGUUGCACUGUGUGUUCUCCCUUGGAGGUGAAACGGUUUCUGUUAAUUCAGGAACCUGUCACAAUUUCCUUUUUUAUUUUAUUUAUUUAUUUAUUUAUUUAUUUAUUUAUUUAUUUAUUUAGUUUUUCGAGACAGGGUUUCUCUGUAUAGCCCUGGCUGUCCUGGAACUCACUCUGUAGACCAGGCUGUCCUCGAAUUCAGAAAUCCACCUGCUUCUGCCUCCCAAGUGCUGGGAUUUAAGGACUGUGCCACCCCUGCCUGGCACAAUUUCCUUUCAUAGAGGACGUCAUAAGAGAUUAUUUUUCUACUUCUAUCAUGUUUAAUGUUCCAAAUAGAUUUUAAAAACUGGUUGAGUGCAUAUUACUUUUAGUUUCAGAAGAUAUCAUGUAUAUUUUAGAGUCAUUUAACUAUUAUAAAUUAUUUUGAUGACUUAAAAAAUGUCAAUCCUGACACAUUUUAAAAUAAAUUUUAUUAGUUUAAGUAAAAAAAAAAAAAAAAGAAAUAUGUGGUUAGAUUCAAGUCUCUAGUGAGAGGCUAUCUACAAAGUAGUUUUAUAUGUUUUUGGAAGUCGAUUGUGCUUUUUGUUUUAUUUUGUUUUAGGUGUUUUCAGACAGGGUUUCUCAUUGUAGUUCUGGCUUGCUGGAACUCACUCUGUAGAUCAGGCUAGCUUCGAUCUUAGAGAGCCACCUACCUCUGCCUCCCAAGUGCUGGAAUCAAAGGACUGCACCACCACUGCCCAGCUGCCUUUGUGGUUUGUUUGUUUUUAAACGGAGAACUUUCCACUCGUGGUUUCAGUUAACCUCAGGAUCCACUGAGCCUCACUGACUAGUUUGUACAGGUUUGCAACACUUUCACUGAUCACUUCUUAGCACCCACACAGUAAACUGUGUUAGAUCCUCAAAGGAGAUCAGAAAACAAAGCAAUUUGCAUAUUUUUGAACCGAAAUUGUUUACAAAUGGAGAAACAGCUGCUGUGUGAGACAAGUGAAGUGGUGCAGGAGAGAGCCCUGGCUUUAAUCAGAUAAGAAAGAUAAUUGUAGAAGCAACCAUGUUUCAGCCUGCACUUGGAAGAGCAUGGGUUGGUGUGUGUGUGUGAAGGGGUUGCAAACCAUUCAAGCUGGGCAGGGAAUUCCACAUGGUAUUUUUUUUUUUUAACGUGCAUUGCUGUUUUGCCUUCGUGAGUGUGUGUGUGUGUGCGCGCAUGCGUGUGCCAGACCCCCCGAAACUCGUGUUACAGAUUGUUGUGACUGUCAUGUUGGUGCUGGGUCCUCUGGAUAAGCAGUCGGUACUCUUGCAGAGCCAUCUCUCUAGCCCCCUCACACAGUAUUUGCAAAGCAAAAAGAAUUCAGCAAGCAUGGUGCAUUUGGGACUCACAAAUAGCCUGAUAUUUUUUGGUUUUGGUUUUUAGGGGCUUUUGUUUUGCUUUUGAGCAUUUGUUUGUUUUUUGUUUGUUUGUUUGUUUUUUAAUGUAAAGUGUCACAAGAGAACAAUCCUAAGCAAAUGCAAAUCGAUGUGCUAUGGACCAUCACUAUCACAUGGCUAUUUAUGAAGAAGCUUGUGACUAGUGUGCAAAGCCUUUGAAAAACACUGCAGAAACCUGAGAGCUUCCUUCCAUGGCAAAUUAUGAUAGCUCAUUUGAACUCUGGUUAGAUGCUAUCUCAGCUACUUUAACGAAUUAGGGUUAGGGUUUCUUCCUUCAGACAGAGUCACCUCCUACUCUUAGGAAACAGGAGAAAAACAGUCUGCCUGUUACACAGAUGUUCUUUGCCUGGUCAUCAUGGUUUUGUUUGUUUGUUUGUUUGUUUGUUUUGUCUUUUGUUUUUUUUUUUGUUUUUUUACAGAACUCUAAACAGCCACUAAUUUUGUCUUUUCCAUCAGAUCCCUGGACUAUGGUGUAGGUUGACCUUCAUUCUUUUUCAAUUUGGAAGGCAGCAGAAAGAGUGGUACAAAUCUGUAAAAUUAACUUUUAUUCUUCUGAUGUAAUUGUAUUCACCAUGGCUUACUGCCUCUGUCAGCUAACCUAGGCCUAGUUGUGGAAUCUUCUAGUUUCUGUGCAAUCUUAUCUAGGCUUAGGAUGUUUUCAGCCUCUGAGACUUAUUGCUAAAUAAGCUCACCCUUUCUUGUUCUUUCUGAUCUCUGCCUGGCUGGUUCACCUCAGCCGUUCUGGCUCAAUCUUCUUUGCCAACUGACUGAUUCAAUCUGGAUUUUCUCUUAGACUCUAAGUUGCUCUGGUUGGCCUCAAACUAGCUCUAGCAAUCUUUUUCUAAUCUGGCUUGUUCUCAUCUUCUGGCUCCUUGUGCCUUUCCUGUGUCUAGCUUGUACUCUCUUCAGUUUGUCUCUGUAAAGCUCUCCCUGUAAAACUGCCUUCUUCUCCCUCUCAGUACUGCUCCAAUUGGAGGCUACUGACAGCUACUUAGUAAGAUCCUGUCUCAAAAAACCAAAAUGGGGCUGGAGAGAUGGCUCAGCAAAAACACUGGCUACUCUUCCAAAGGACCCAGGUUUCAUUCCCAGCAUCAAGAUGGCAGCUAACAACUGUCUGUAACUCCAGUUCCAGGAGAUCCUACCCCCACAUAGACAUACAUGCAGUCAAAACAUCAGUGCUCAUAAAAUUAAAACAAAAACAAACCAAGUUCGAAAACAGGAGUUAUUCAAUUUUUCUGUGUUUUUAAAAACCCACAGGUAGGCUGUAUACCCAAAGGACUCUACUUCCUACUACAAGAACACACACUUAUCCCUGUUCAUUGUGGCUCUAUUCUCAAUAGGCAGGACACAGAAACAGAUUAGAUGCCCAUCAGUGGAUGAAUGGACAGUAAAAAUGCGGUACCUGUCUAUAAUGAAAUAAUAUUAGCUGUAAUGAAAAAUGAAAUUUGGAGGUAACUGUGUAGGACUGGAAACCACUAUACCAAGUGAGGUAAGCCUGACCCAGAAGGACAAACAGCCGAGUUCUCACUUGUACACUACCUCCCAUCACAUCUUCAGGUCUAUGUUUAACUCAGAGGACCUGGGAAUGGAAAACCAUAAAAGGUCCUUUGGUGGGGACAGGCAGAAAGAUAAAGAGGGAAUCAUGGGAAAGAGGCUUACGUGAGGAGACGGUUGGGAGGAUUAUGUGGAGGAUUGCUGGGGUGGGCGAGUAACUAACAUGGAUUAAUAAGAAUAUUUUUUAGGUCCCUGACGCUUGUUGCAGGAACAUGGCAGGGUUGGGAGCCAACAGUGAUGUCAUGGUGAAACUUGAUGAUGGGCACUUAAACAACUCCCUGCGUUCUCCAGUUCAAGCUGGCGUGUACUUCCGUGGGCACAUUAAAGGUGGUAUGAGACCAGGCAAGAAGGUAUUAGUGAUGGGCAUCGUAGAUCACAACCCCAAAAGCUUUGCCAUCAGCUUGACUUGUGGUGACUCUGAAGAUCCUCCUGCCGAUGUGGCGAUUGAACUCAAAGUUGUGUUCACAAACCAGCAGGUCUUUAGAAACUCUUGUAUCUCAGGAGAAAGCGACGAAGAGAAUUUGGCAUUUCCUUACUUUCCAUUCGUCCCCGACCAGCCAUUCAGGAUGGAGAUUUUUUGCCAGCAACCGUGUUUCAGAGUGUUGGUGGAUGGACACCACCUUUUUGAUUUUUAUCAUCGUAUUCAAACAUUAUCUGCAAUUGACUCCAUAAAGAUCAGUGGGGACCUCCAGAUUACCAAACUUGGCUGAUGUUUAAAGCACUUCUAUUUCAAAUAUGAUCAAUCAGGUGCCACAACUACAUGUCUGAAAGAGGUGUCCUAGCCAGAUCUGGAGUCUUAAAAAGAAAACAAAAACAAAGACAGACUUCACUGUCUCUUUCUGUGUAGUUUAAGUCUGGAAUGACAACUUCAUCUGUGGUUUGCCCAGAAGAAGAAAGCUGGCAAGAAAGACACAGAGCCAUUAUGCUCAGAAUGAAGUAAUACAUCUAUGCUGGAUUUUAUUCAGACUAAACCAAAAUGGAUUUGUGAUGAUUUGUGAUUUGGUAGCAAUUACUCAUCAUUUCAAAGCAAGGUGAUAUUUAGAAACAAAAGUGCUAAAGACCUUAAAAACAACAAGGGUACAUCAAAUCCGUGCAUUUCUGCACUGACAUGCAAUUGCAUAGCACCACUGACACUUUAGUCAGGGUAUUUACAUAGAGUGCAGAUCGUGCAAAGUUUGGUUCUGCUUUCUUGGGGGUUGUUCUGGUUUUUGGUUUUGUUUUGUUUUUUUGGCACAGCAUCAUGUUAACUUGGAUUUCUAAGCGUUCUUGAUUAAUUUAUUUAUAUUUAGUAUAUGUAUUAAUGUAUCAGAGAAUGAGCAAUGUCUACAAAUUAUGAACUUAGGUUGCAGGGGAAAAUGUAUGCAAAACUAGCAUAAGAUAAGUGGAUUUUUCCCUUAAAGAAUUUGAGUAUAUUCUCCUUACCCCUCAACUUUAGUUUCUUAACAUAAAAUGCUAUAGAUGCUUUUGGGAAAAUUUUUUGCAACACUUCAAUAAAGCUCUAAAGUUCUUGUCGAUUAUGGGA